UUAGUACGGCGAGUGAAGCGGUAAAAGCUCAAAUUUGAAAUCUGGUACUUUCAGUGCCCGAGUUGUAAUUUGUAGAAUUUGUCUUUGAUUAGGUCCUUGUCUAUGUUCCUUGGAACAGGACGUCAUAGAGGGUGAGAAUCCCGUUUGGCGAGGAUACCUUUUCUCUGUAAGACUUUUUCGAAGAGUCGAGUUGUUUGGGAAUGCAGCUCAAAGUGGGUGGUAAAUUCCAUCUAAAGCUAAAUAUUGGCGAGAGACCGAUAGCGAACAAGUACAGUGAUGGAAAGAUGAAAAGAACUUUGAAAAGAGAGUGAAAAAGUACGUGAAAUUGUUGAAAGGGAAGGGCAUUUGAUCAGACAUGGUGUUUUUUGCAUGCACUCGCCUCUCGUGGGCUUGGGCCUCUCAAAAAUUUCACUGGGCCAACAUCAAUUCUGGCAGCAGGAUAAAUCAUUAAGAAUGUAGCUACUUCGGUAGUGUUAUAGCUUUUUGGAAUACUGUUAGCCGGGAUUGAGGACUGCGCUUCGGCAAGGAUGUUGGCAUAAUGGUUAAAUGCCGCCCG
rnacentral:rRNA from 1 species